rnacentral:rRNA from 1 species
UACGGGGGGAGCAAGCGUUGUUCGGAUUUACUGGGCGUAAAGGGCGCGUAGGCGGCCACCGCAAGUCGACUGUGAAAUCUCCGGGCUUAACCCGGAAAGGUCAGCCGAUACUGCGGGGCUAGAGUGCAGAAGGGGCAACUGGAAUUCCUGGUGUAGCGGUGAAAUGCGCAGAUAUCAGGAGGAACACCGAUGGCGAAGGCGGCUCUCUGGGCCUUACCUGACGCUGAGGAGCGAAAGCGUGGGUAGCGAACAGG